UACGUAGGGGGCUAGCGUUGUCCGGAUUUAUUGGGCGUAAGAGCUCGUAGGUGGUUCGGUAAGUCGGAAUGUGAAAUCGUCCACGGCUCAACCUGGAGGGGUCAUUCGAUACUGCCGUGACUAGAGUUCGGUAGAGGAGUGUGGGAAUUCCUGGUGGAGCGGUGAAAUGCGCAGAGAUCAGGAGGAACACCCGUAGCGAAGGCGGCACUCUGGGCCGAUACUGACACUGAGGAGCGAAAGCGUGGGGAGCGAACAGG
rnacentral:rRNA from 1 species